GCUGCCCUGUGUAUAUACACAGAGGGGGUAAUCACGUGAUGAUCUAAAGGAAGUCAAGAUGGCGACGUCCUUGCAGAAACAGGAAAACUUGUGGCCGAUCAAAUGGCUUCCACAAGAAUUAUAACUGCAUGGGAUACGAUGGCAAAGAAGAAUGGUCAUGCUCAAAAGUAUAUGUUCCGACAUCAAGAUCAAGCAAGGCAGGUUUCAUCAUCCACUGCGAGGAUGCCUGGAGAACGAUUACGGCAAAGUUCUCCGAUGGAGGCCAAACACACUAUCAUAUAUCAUCAUGAACACUUAUCUGUCAAAUCUCGUUCAAAAAUGAAAUUUAAAUCUGAAAGAACUUUGUUAUCACCAAGCAAGAAAGAAAUACAAGAUUAAUAUACAACAAAAUAAAAGUAACAGGUAGUGCAUGCGGUAACAAAUUUGAAGACUUAUCCAUAGAAUGCCACCAAAUACUUAAAAUACCGACAGAUUAUCCAGAAACGAAGGCGAUGUUGGAACCUUCAAAAACACAGCUUCUAUGUGUUACAGAUGACCGCAUGUCAAAUGAAGAGAAUAAUUGGACUGAAUCAAGAAUAAUAAAUCUAAAAUUAAAGGUCAUGAGAACAUUCUAUUACACUUUU